ensembl:lncRNA novel transcript
GGUUACUAGCCAAGCUAAGCCCUUCUUAUGGGUUUCAGCCUGUCCCUCAUUCUUCCCCAGAAGCUUGGAAGGCCCAAACUUUAAAACUUCCUAUGCAAGCAGGGAGAGGAGAAAGGAGUCAUUCCUCCCCUACCAGAAUGAGAGUGCCCUGACCCCUAACUGCACAUGCAGCUUCCUUGAAAAAUUUGACUGUAAAUAUUUUUCUACACAUAUGCAAAUAUGUGCACAUACAAGUGGAUAGCUUUCCAUGACAGUCGGUGAUCACAGUAUAAAAUUCAAGAAUUCACAGAUAUUUGGAAUAGUGGUCUGGAACUGAACUUGCAAUUUCUCCAAGAUAUGUCGGUAUCUCUCUCCAUGCUGUGCUGCGUGGGCUUUGGGAGCGGUGAUGUGGACCAUUUGAAAUUGUCCUUGCUACCUCUUUAAUGCAUAUUUUUAUAUUUCUAUGCUCCACCCAAGUGCUGUAGUCUCUCAACUGCCUUCUUUUUGUUCUUCAGCUUUUAUGAAGCUAUUUUCAAGUGUGAGUAGUUGUCCAAAUUCAUGUUUCUUGAGGGAACAAGUGACUUGUUUGUAAGUUGACUUGUAUAUCUUUUUAUAGCUGAGAUUUUAUCCUGUGAUCUUACUAACUCAGGAAUUUUUUGGAGAUUCUUUGCAGUUUUCUAAGUAGAAUAACCAUAUUAUAUUUAUUAUUAUUUUCCUUCUUACUUUGGUUUUAAUUUGCUCUUUUUUUACAUGUUUUCUGAGUUAGAAACUUAGGUUAUUGAUUUGAUACCCUUAUUCCUUUAUAACAUAUGCAUUUGAUUGUGUAAGUUUUUCUCUAAGCACUGCUUUAGUGCAUCCCACAAAUUUUGAUCUGUUGUAUAUUUUUUAUUUACUUUAAUAUAUCUUCUAAUUUUCUUUUGACUUUAUCUUUGACCAAUGAAAUAUUCAGAAAUGUGUAAUUUCUAAAUAUUUGGGAGAUUUUCUAAAUAUUUCUCUGUUACUGCUUUCUAGUUCAACUCCACUAUGGUUAGAGAACACACUUUGAAUGUUUUAAAUCUGUUAAGAUUUGUUUUAUGACUUAAGACACAGUUGGUAUUUGUGAAUGUUUCAUGUGCACUUGAAAACAAUGUUUAUUCUGCUUUCAUUGGGUCAGGUGGUCUAAAAAUGGCAUUUAAGUUAAUUUGGUUGAUAGUGAUUUUCAGGUAUUAUAUAUCCUUCCUGAUUCCUGCCUAGUUGUUCUAAUGAUUACUGACAGAAGACUGUUGAAAUCUCCAAUUACACUAUUAUUUUUGUAUUUCUACCUUUACCUCUAUAAUUUUUGCUUUAGUAUUGUCACAAUAUUUUGUUGGGUGCAUACCAAUUUAGUAUAGCUAUGUAUUUUUGGUAGAUUGGCACUUUUAACCAUUAUACAAUGUCCCUCUUGGUCCUUGGUAACUUUCCUUCAUUGGAAUUCUACUUUUUUUGAUAUUAAUAUGACAAUUCUAGCAUUCUUUUGGUUAGUAUUUGCAUGGUAUGUCCUUUUCUAUUAUUUAGCUUUUAGCCAAGCUGAGUGUUUUUAUUUAAAAUGGGUUUCCUGCGACUAAAAAUCAUUCUAAUCUUAUUAGAUUAUCUAAUAACCUAAUUAUCUCUCUAUUGGCUGAACUUAGUCAUGGGAUAGAACCUACUUUCAGGGAAGGUUGCAUAAUACAGUCCUUUAUCUGGCCAUAUUGCCUGCACACUUAAAUGUAACCAUGCACCUGUAUAUACACACAUUCACAUAUAUCUGUGUUUUGUUUCUAAAGAAAAGGUGAGAGUGGGUGUUUGUAUAAGCAUCUAGCUAUUUCUGCUUUCAUAUGCUUUUGGUAUUUGUAAACUGUCUUUACCUGUAAAAUAAGGACAUUUCUAACCAUUAUUUCACUUCUAGAAUAAUUAAUUUAUCUGAUCAUUUUAUAUAACAUUUUAAGUGUCUUGUUAAUUUUUUUGUUGAAGUUAUUCAAUAUGUAUUGAAUAUAAAAACACAUCAUUCCUAGUAAAUUAUAGGGAGAUAAUUUUGUCUUUGUUUAAAAAAAUAAGCUUGCUUUCUCAAGGGGGGCUUAAUAUUUCAAAUUUCAUAGCAGCCAUUUAUUGUCAGCAACUUAAAGACUGUUUCUGUUUUAAGAAUACAUUUUUCUUCGAAAUAAAGUCAGAAAUUGGA